UACGGGGGGGGCAAGCGUUGUUCGGAAUUACUGGGCGUAAAGGGUUCGUAGGUGGCCAAUUAAGUCAGACGUGAAAUCCCUCAGCUUAACUGGGGAACUGCGUCUGAGACUGGAUGGCUUGAGUGCAGGAGAGGAACGCGGAAUUCCAGGUGUAGCGGUGAAAUGCGUAGAUAUCUGGAGGAACACCGGUGGCGAAGGCGGCGUUCUGGACUGCAACUGACACUGAGGAACGAAAGUCAGGGGAGCAAACGGG
rnacentral:rRNA from 1 species